rnacentral:rRNA from 2 species
CCUGGCGGCUUUAGCGCGGUGGUCCCACCUGACCCCAUGCCGAACUCAGAAGUGAAACGCCGUAGCGCCGAUGGUAGUGUGGGGUCUCCCCAUGUGAGAGUAGGAAACUGCCAGGC